rnacentral:rRNA from 1 species
CCUACGGGUGGCUGCAGUGGGGAAUAUUGCACAAUGGGCGCAAGCCUGAUGCAGCCAUGCCGCGUGUGUGAAGAAGGCCUUCGGGUUGUAAAGCACUUUCAGCGGGGAGGAAGGCGUUAAGGUUAAUAACCUUGUCGAUUGACGUUACCCGCAGAAGAAGCACCGGCUAACUCCGUGCCAGCAGCCGCGGUAAUACGGAGGGUGCAAGCGUUAAUCGGAAUUACUGGGCGUAAAGCGCACGCAGGCGGUCUGUCAAGUCGGAUGUGAAAUCCCCGGGCUCAACCUGGGAACUGCAUUCGAAACUGGCGGGCUAGAGUCUUGUAGAGGGGGGUAGAAUUCCAGGUGUAGCGGUGAAAUGCGUAGAGAUCUGGAGGGAUACCGGUGGCGAAGGCGGCCCCCUGGACAAAGACUGACGCUCAGGUGCGAAAGCGUGGGGAGCAAACAGGAUUAGAUACCCGAGUAGUC